rnacentral:rRNA from 2 species
AGACCCGAAACCCGGUGAUCUAGCCAUGGGCAGGUUGAAGGUUGGGUAACACUAACUGGAGGACCGAACCGACUAAUGUUGAAAAAUUAGCGGAUGACCUGUGGCUGGGGGUGAAAGGCCAAUCAAACCGGGAGAUAGCUGGUUCUCCCCGAAAGCUAUUUAGGUAGCGCCUCGUGAAUUCAUCUCCGGGGGUAGAGCACUGUUUCGGCUAGGGGGCCAUCCCGGCUUACCAACCCGAUGCAAACUGCGAAUACCGGAGAAUGUUAUCACGGGAGACACACGGCGGGUGCUAACGUCCGUCGUGAAGAGGGAAACAACCCAGACCGCCAGCUAAGGUCCCAAAGUCAUGGUUAAGUGGGAAACGAUGUGGGAAGGCCCAGACAGCCAGGAUGUUGGCUUAGAAGCAGCCAUCAUUUAAAGAAAGCGUAAUAGCUCACUGGUCGAGUCGGCCUGCGCGGAAGAUGUAACGGGGCUAAACCAUGCACCGAAGCUGCGGCAGCGAACGUAUCACCCAAGACAACUUUACGGAGUUGACGAUUGACGGAGCGAAGCGACGUCAAAGCGUUCAUUAAAGUCGAGUUGGCUUAGGGAUACGUUCGUUGGGUAGGGGAGCGUUCUGUAAGCCUGUGAAGGUGUGUCGUGAGGCAUGCUGGAGGUAUCAGAAGUGCGAAUGCUGACAUAAGUAACGAUAAAGCGGGUGAAAAGCCCGCUCGCCGGAAGACCAAGGGUUCCUGUCCAACGUUAAUCGGGGCAGGGUGAGUCGACCCCUAAGGCGAGGCCGAAAGGCGUAGUCGAUGGGAAACGGGUUAAUAUUCCCGUACUUGGUGUUACUGCGAAGGGGGGACGGAGAAGGCUAUGUUGGCCGGGCGACGGUUGUCCCGGUUUAAGCGUGUAGGUGUGUGUUCCAGGUAAAUCCGGUUCACUUUAACACUGAGGCGUGACGACGAGGCACUACGGUGCUGAAGCAACAAAUGCCCUGCUUCCAGGAAAAGCCUCUAAGCAUCAGGUAACAUCAAAUCGUACCCCAAACCGACACAGGUGGUCAGGUAGAGAAUACCAAGGCGCUUGAGAGAACUCGGGUGAAGGAACUAGGCAAAAUGGUGCCGUAACUUCGGGAGAAGGCACGCUGACACGUAGGUGAAGU